UGGAUAUCAGAAAGGCAAAAUGGGAACCCUCCAGGAAGAAAUUCUACUAAGAGUUUAAUAUGAUGUUUAGGGAACUCCAGAGACUCAGUCAGUCAAGAAAUGAUUAAUGAGGGCUCAAGAAUCAAAACUUCCAUGUGAAAAAAAUGAAGUCCCUAUUCCUUAUCACUGCUUAUUAAACAGAAUCAAGAUAAAAGUACAAAUCAUCAGAUACAAAGAAAACAAGGAAAGAAGAAGUGGGACCACUAAGCAUUGAGGAUGGGAUGGAGAUUAGAGAUAACACAGGUGUAUUUUUUAAUAUCUUAGUUUCUUAGUACUGGAAAGUAACCAUUCCGAAGGCUGCCACAUAUAAUUUGGAGAAGAAAACUCAAGUCUGUUCAAGUAACAUCUACACACAGAAUUAUAAAAAUAAACGAAGAUAGCUGAAGCUCACAUCUAUGUUGAAGAUUAGAAGAAAGGCUCACCCAGACCAUAAGUGAAAAAUAUCACCCACACGGCUGUUCGGUUUGCAAAACCAAUUUCCUUUUGUAGUGGAUUAUUUUAACAUAUUUAUUAGUUUUCCAUAAGA